AACACCCCCAUCGGUUCAUCUCUAUCUCUAGCAUCAUAGGAUCCACGUUCCGACCCAAUCCUCACCUAUCUAAGUCACCAAGCGUUCCAAGUACACUAGGUUAUCAUUUAGAAAGUAUAAGGAAGGGAGCUACUUUGCAAUCCUACAAUGCAACAUAAAGAGAUGAGAUUAAAUGCAAUCUAAGACAUAGAAAGGAGUUCGAAAGCUUCGGGAUGGCACCCCCCACCUUUAAUCAAUGUAGAGGCUUUAGAAACGCUCCUCGGCGAACUUUACGAAAAGGCUUUAGCCUUUCCUUGCCCAAAUCAACACUAUCCCGGCCCUAUUUUGCCGAGAACCUCACGGCGGCUCGCCGAAUGCCAAAAUCGACUUCGCCCCGCGUUUUGUGACCUACCAAUAGGGUUUCCAAGGCUUCAAAUGAGAUCAAUCUCAUAUAUUCACAAAAACUGCAUUUUGGAGCCCUAGGUUUGCACCUAUAGCAAACCACCAAUAAAUCCCUAGAUUUCUUGGGAUUGAUCUAUUUAGAAGCUCGUUUAUGGUCCAUUUGACCCAUUCCAAAGCACAAAAAACCAAAACCUUAAGUUCUAGAAGCUAGGGCUUGUAGCUUACCACUUGAGCUACCUCAAUAGAGAGAAGAGAACGAGGGGAAGAUGCUCCAAGCCUUCCCUAUCUUGUUCUCCUCCUUCUUCUUCUUCUUCUCCUUCUUCUUCUCGUUCUCUUUUGUUCUUUAUUUCCUAGAGAGAGAGAGGGAGCAAGAGAGAGUGUGAGAAAGAGAGAGAAUGAGAGGCUGUGAGGGAGAGAGAGGGCUUAGCCCACUCUAAUAAAUGCCAUUUUGCAUUUAGACCCCUCAACUUUUCAUCCAGUGCACAGCCCUCACUGGGCAGUUCUCGCGCGGAGGGACCAGUCUCCCCGAGUUGGGACCGGUCCCCGAGAGCUUCCCUCGGGCGCACGCGUUCGGGAAUCGGUCUCUCCUCGGGAGACCGGUCCUCGGGAGACCGGUCCUCACCUGGGAGACCGGUCCCCGAGAGCUAAAUUUUUAGGACUUAAGACAUUUUUUGGCAUUUCUCGCUGGGGCAACGUUCGGGAACCGGUCCCUCCCUACCAGGGACCGGUUGCAUCAUGCAACCCCGCAACACCCAGCCAAGGGAAUCGGUCUCUCACCUCCAGAGACUGGUCCCCGAGAGUAACAUCAGCCCAAUGAUGCAGUUUGCCUCAUUUGCUCUCGCGGACUUAACUCCAAAGCACUUUUUGUGUUUUGGACAUUUGCAACUCCCGCAAAGGGUAUACUCUCGACAAUUAGUCGAUCCUGGAUGAAGUAUAAUCCUCGGAUUUCGAGAAUUCACUUCCUUACAUCCUCCCCUCCUUAAAAGGAGUUUCGUCCUCGAAACGAACUCAAUUCUUUAUUUUUAACUUAAAUUCAUACCUUACUCCUCAAAUAGAUGAGGAUGGUGUUUUCUCAUCAGAUCCUCGAGUUCCCAGGUGGCUUCGCGAUCCUCGUGAUUGCUCCACCUGACCUUUACAUAAGGAAUUUCUCGAUUCCUCAACUUUCGCACCUCUCGGGCGAUAAUCCCUACCGGAAACUCUUCAUAGCUCAAGUCACCUUGAAGUUCCGGCGGUUCAUAUAGCAUUGCGUGCUCGGGAUCGUGAAUGUACUUGCGGAGAUUGGAGACAUGGAACACAUUGUGUACAUCCGCAAGCUUCGGCGGUAGAGCAUGUCGGUAGGCCACCGUGCCGACUCGCUCUAAUAUCUCAUAUGGCCCAAUGUAUCGGGGACUUAGUUUUCCCUGCACCCCAAACCGCUUCACACCUCGCAUCGGUGAAACUUUCAAGAAUACGCGGUCACCUACCGCGAAUUCUAUAUCUCGACGGCGCCUAUCUGCAUAGCUUUGCUGUCUCGACUGCGCCGUGAGCAACCUCUUGCGAGCAAGGCGGACUUUCUCCUCCGCUUCUCGCAGAACAUCAGGGCCGAACUCUGUACGCUCACCCACAUCGCUCCAGUAUAUAGGAGACCGACACGUCCGCCCAUAAAGAGCCUCGAACGGUGCCAUCUCCACACUAGCGUGAUAACUGUUGUUGUAGGCGAACUCGACCAUAGGUAGGUGGUCACACCAACUUCCCUUGUAGUCGAUGACACACGCUCGCAACAUGUCCUCCAGAGUUUGAAUAGUUCUCUCUAUUUGCCCAUCGGUUUGAGGAUGAAGCGGUGCUAAAGUCGAGCCGUGUGCCAAGGGCUCCCUGCAGGCUCUUCCAGAAGUGUGAAGUGAACUCGGGGUCACGAUCCGACACGAUCGAUUUCGGCACCCCAUGUAGCCUCACUAUCUCGUCAAGGUAUACCUGCGCUAACUUAUCACCCGACCACGUGGUGUGGAUCGGCAAGAAGUGAGCCGACUUGGUCAAUCGGUCCACAAUUACCCAAAUUGCAUCGUGGCCGCCCGUUGAGCGAGGCAAGCCGACCACGAAGUCCAUCGAUAUGUCCUCCCACUUCCAAACGGGGAUUGGUAGGUUUUGAAGCUUUCCCGCUGGAAAUCGACGCUCGGCCUUCACUUACUGGCAUGUUAGGCACUUCGCUACAAAGCAUCCAAUAUCACCUUUCAUUCCCGGCCACCAAUAGUGCAUUUUCAGUCCUUGAUACAUCUUGGUGCCGCCUGGGUGAUUGGCAUAUGGAGAUCGGUGUGCUUCUUGCAGAAUCAAUUCACGAAGCUCUCCAUUCUUCGGCACACACCAUCGGUUUCGAAACCGAAGCGUACCAUCGGCGUCUACCUUGAAAUCGCCGCCAUGACCUUCCUCGAUGUUUCGCCGCACCUUUUGGAGUUCUGGGUCUACGGGUUGUAGAUCUUUGAUCCUCUCCAACAAGGUCGGUUGGACAACGAGUGCCAUCAACUGGGUCGGACGGGAGCGACCACUUCAAAGUCCAAUCGCUCCAUAUCCAGCCACAAGGGUGUUUGCUGGGUAACGUCAAAUGCGAGGUUCUUCGCCGACUUCUUACUAAGUGCGUCCGCGACCACAUUUGCCUUCCCGGGGUGGUAGAGGAUAUCAACAUCAUAUUCCUUUAACAGCUCCAACCACCGCCGCUGACGCAUGUUGAGCUCCUUCUGUGUAAACAGGUACUUCAAGCUCUUGUGGUCGGUAUAGAUCUCACAGUGGGUACCAUAUAAGUAGUGCCUCCACAGCUUCAAGGCGAAAAUCACCGCCGCUAGCUCCAAAUCAUGAAUAGGGUAGUUCUUUUCAUAGCUCUUCAGCUGACGGGAUGCAUAAGCGAUCACUUUCCCAUUUUGCAUCAAUACACACCCCAAUCCAAGAUAGGAGGCAUCACUGUAGACCACAAAGUCUUUGCCCUGCACCGAUAGAGUGAGCACCGGAGUCGAAGUCAAUCUCUGCUUCAACUCUUUGAAACUCCGGUUGCAUUCCUCGCUCCACACAAACUUGGUGCCUUUCUGAGUCAGGCGAGUAAGUGGAAUCACGAUCUUGGAAAAGCCUUCCACAAACCACCUAUAAUAGCCCACCAAGCCCAUGAAGCUUCGAACCUCCGUGACAUUUGUCAGGCGCGGCCAAUCCUUGAUUGCCUCAACUUUUCUCGGGUCUACAGAAACUCCACCCGCGAAAAUCACAUGCCCUAAGAAGGCGACCUCGCGGAGCCAGAAGUCACAUUUCUUCAGUUUAGCAUAUAGUUUCUCCUCCCGAAGGACUUGAAGCACUAUUCUCAGAUGCUCGGCAUGUUCUUCGUCACUACGAGAGUAGACCGAUAUGUCGUCUAUGAAGACCACGACAAAUCGAUCAAAAUACUUCUUGAAGACACGGUUCAUCAAAUCCAUGAACGUCGUUGGAGCAUUCGUGAGUCCAAAUGGCAUGACCGUAAAUUUGUAGUGUCCAUACCGCGUACGAAACGCAGUUUUCUGCACAUCCUCCGGCUUGAUUUUCAGCUGGUGAUAGCCGGAUUGCAAAUAUAUCUUUGAGUACACACACAACCCCUGCAACUGAUCGAACAAGUCAUCAAUUCGGGGUAGUGGGUACUUGUUCUUGAUCGUGACUCUGUUCAAUUCCCGAUAGUCCACGCAGAGUCGGAACGAUCCGUCUUUCUUCCUUACGAACAACACCGGGGCUCCUCACGGUGAUACACUCGGCCGGAUAAAUUGCUUGUCGAGGAGGUCUUGCAGCUGACUCCUCAACUCCUUCAAUUCCGCCGGCGCCAUUCGGUACGGAGCUUUCGAGAUCGGUGCGGUACCGGGAACCAAGUCUAUGACGAACUCGAUUUCCCGAUCCGGUGGUAUCCCCGGCAACUCCGCGGGAAACACAUCCGGGAACUCCCGCACUACCGAUAGCUCCUCCAACGUUGGAGCUACUCGAUCCACUUCCACAACGGUCGCUAAGAACGCCGCACAAUCAUUGCUCACCAACUUUCUUGCUCUUGUCGCCGACACCGUCGCGACAAAGCACGAGCUCUGACGAGCCUGAUAGGUGAAUUCUUCCUGUCCUGACUCGCGGAACGUGAUAACCCUGCUCUCGCAGUUGAUCGUUGCGUGAUACUUCGAGAGCCAGUCCAUGCCCAGAAUAACGUCAUAAACCUCAAGCUUCUGGAGUUCCAGUGUCCAGAUAGGCAUAAUCCAGUCGCCUAUUUGCACGGGACAUGACGCACACUCCGAAUAAGUGUUAAACGUCGACCCAGGGCCCCCCACUCGCCACUUGUCACUCGUCUCUAUGAGAACGUCGUGCAUGCGUGCGAAUGAUCUACUUAUGAAUGAAUGCGUGGCUCCUGUAUCAAAUAAAGCCCUGGAGCGAACUCCGUUAAUUAAAACCAUACCUGCCACAAGGCGAUGCUCCUCCGCCUCCACAGGUUCCUCAGCUUGGACCUGAGCGGCGAAUACCCGACCGCUCGGGGCCGAUCGCGUCACUUCAAGUUGAUGCGGCAUCAUCGUGCGUCCAGUCGACGCGGCCGUCGGUGAAGCUCCUCCAUAGCGAGCCGGAAUCGCCGGCGCCGAUGCAAUCGAUAGGGCAGGUGAGGCUCCUCCUCCCGGGCAAUCUCGAAUGAAGUGCCCCGGUUGCCACACUUGUAGCACUUGCCUCGGCCUUGCUCACAGCGCGAGACUGGGUGGUCUCCGCCGCAUACGAUGCAUCGCCGCGCUCCACCGCCCUUCUGUUGAGUGCGCGGAUACUUUGGGGGUUUCUUGUAACGUGUCUGUCCCCCCAAACUACCGCCGCCUUGGUGUUUCUUGCCCUUGUCCUUAGACUCGGCCCAAGCCUCACGCUUCUCCCGCACGUGGGCAUCUUCGUGCUUCGCCAAAAGGGCUCGAUCGAAGACCUCCACGAAGGUCGUAAGCUUAAGUAUUUGCACGGCCUUGUAGAUUCCCGGCCGAAGUCCUCGCAAGAACCACUCGGCCCGGUCCCGGUCAUCCUUUACAACAUCCGGGACAUAAUCGAUAAUAUGGGAGAAUUCUUGUUCGUACUCCGCCACUGAGCGGUCCCCUUGCUCUAACUUGCGGAAUUUCUCCUCGAGCUACGGCUUCAACGUAUCGGGGAAAUAGUUGGUGAACAUCUCCCUCUUGAAUUCCUCCCACAAUAUUAGCGGAAGGCCGGGAAGUCGAUCCUGUUUAACGCGCUUCCACCAAACCUUCGCCGCCUUUUCCAAGCAGUGGGUGGCGAGAUACACCUUGUCCCUCUACAAGGUACGCAUGUCGUCGAAGAGGGUUUCCAUCGAGUCGAUCCAAGACUCGACCAUCUCCGGUUCCACCUUCUCGCCCUCGAAGGUUGGCGGAUGGAACUUGUUGAACUUGAUAAGAGCCGCCAAUGCGCGCUCUCCUUCCACGUCUUCGGCGGACACAUCGGGUGUAGCCGAUCCUGAUGCCGCCGGUGGUACGAUCGCUGGCGGUGGGCGUGCCGUCACCGGAACCGCCGCUAUGGCCUCACCCUCUGCCGCGCCGGGUAUAUGAGUCGAGGGUGCGGGCGGACCACUGCCUUCAUUCGUCGUCGCAGCCGCCGCCGCGAUAUGCCGCUUCAAUAGAUCUUGGAGCCGCUCGAAUCUGGUCUCCUGGCGCUGCAACACACUGGUCAGCGCAGUCACUUGCGCUUGCAACCGAUCAAUCACGCUCGGUUCCUCUUGCUCGGGCACCUCAGGAGUCGGUGCUGGGGCAGUCCUACGCGUGUAGCGUCUUGGAGACAUUAGUCCCUGAAACGCAAAUACUUGGUCAGUCAUCUUAACCGAUUACCUUGUAGCACUUACGACACACGACGACUCAACCACAAAUUGGGCGGAAGCACACAAGUGCACUUGUUCUAGGCUCUUGGUAUCAUGUCGUUGGCCGCCAACACAACCACCUCAAGACAAGAACUCAUACCACUUGAAUCCGUCUCUAAUCACAACUAGAGACAUAUUACCAACUUCGACCCAAUCAAAUUAACUUCCGCCAUCGCUAUAGGCUCACGUUUCGCUCACGCACCUAUAACCUUAAGGCUUACUAACCUAGAGUCUCCUAGGUCAUCCUAGACUCUCUCUUUUACUUGCUCUUAUUGCUCUGAUACCACAAAGGCUGUCACGCCCCGCCGCGAAACCACUACCAAUUUGGCACGGUUCGGCCGCGGCAGCGGGCCGCCGAACGGACAGUACCUCCCCUGUCCGCCCAAGGCUCAACAACAGGAAUGUGCACAAGAAUUUACUCAGGAAAUUAAAUUCUAAACAUACACAUUCACAAGGGCACAAACAGUGCCAACAAUACAAAGAGCGAGUAAAUCCACAAGAUAAUGCAUGUGAAAUAAAGAGAGUACUUUACUAAACUAUUACAACAUUCUCAUUUUCUUUAAAUGAAUACAUUUUCCAUUUUCAAAAUACAUAGCUCUCCGAAUCCUCACCUACAAUGAUCUCUCUCAAUACAUAGGUGUGCUAAUGCAAAAAGGAAAGCUACUAUACUACCACGGUCUCACUGGUCGGGCGCGACGCCCUUGCCGCGGUCCUCUCUCUGCAGCCCUGAACCUACCACUGAAAAUAGAGUGGGGUGAGAACUAUCUUCCAUAGUUUCCAGUGGGCUCGGCCGCCGACUCUACCGAUCUCCCCACUAGGUCCAAGUGGGCACAAGUAACAACAGAUAGAUAGAUAGAUAGAUAUGUAUCUGAAAGCUGUAAAUGCAAUAGUAGGAAAACUAUGCUACUAUGCCCAUAAUCAUGAAUAUAAAUGCAUGCAUCAUAUAAUAAAGGUUUGCUACCAUGCUAACAAAUUCGAUCCAUGUUCGAAUAGAUGUGUUCAAUGACAUUGUUAAACCUUUAAUCUUUCCAUUUUCCCAAUCUGUUGCGAGGCCCUAGGGCUCGCCCAUAACCCACCUUUCAAUCCCAAAGUGGGGAGGGAGCUCUAAGUGCACCCAAGCUCGGGACCGUCUGCGGACCUCCAUGUGGUCCGGACCUCCAAGUGGUCCUAGUCGCGCGACACUCCGGAGUACUCGACGACAAUCCCCUCCAUGUGGGGAUUGGAUGGCUAUACCAUCCCAAACGCAGACUGUGAGCUAGAUCUAUCCUCUCCAAGUGAGGAUACCCUACAUCUAGGGUCAAUACCCAAUCGAAUCCUCUCCAAGUGAGGGAGCACUAUCACUAGGGUCCACAACCCAAUCAAAUCCUCUCCAAGUGAGGAUGCCCUACCACUAGGGUCAAUGUCUCAAUCGACUCAUCGACAACCUCUCCAUGUGAGGCUACUUAGGUUUACUAAGUUCUUGUCCACAAGGCAUUUUCUAAGGGAUCCACCUAUCCCUAGGUUCUCAAACCUCUAGUGUCAUUUACACUACAUUAAUGCCACUCGUCAUCAUUUAACAUUUGGAUGCCACUCGUUUGUUCUUUAACAUUAACACUACUUUCUAUGUCAUCAACACCCCCAUCGGGUUCAUCUCUAUCUUUAGCAUCAUAGGAUCCACGUUCCGACCCAAUCCUCACCUAUCUAGUUACCAAGCGUUCCAAGUACACUAGGUUAUCAUUUAGAAAGCAUAAGGAAUGGAGCUACUAUGCAAUCCUACAAUGCAACAUGAAGAGAUGAGAUUAAAUGCAAUCUAAGACAUAGAAAGGAGUUCGAAAGCUUCGGGAUGGCACCCUCCACCUUUAAUCAAUGUAGAGGCUUUAGAAACGCUCCUCGGCGAACUUUACGAAAAGGCUUUAG
rnacentral:lncRNA from 1 species